rnacentral:rRNA from 1 species
UGCCGCAAGGCAAGCCGCAAUGCUCAAUAACACGUGGUCAACCUGCCCUCAGGUCGGGGAUAACUCCGGGAAACUGGAGAUAAUACCCGAUAGGAGAUGGAUACUGGAAGGUUCCAUCUUCGAAAGCUUCGGCGCCUGAGGAUGGGACUGCGCCGGAUUAGCUUGUUGUCGGGGUAACUGCCCGACAAGGCGAUAAUCCGUACGGGUUGUGAGAGCAAUAGCCCGGAGAUGGACUCUGAGACAUGAAUCCAGGUCCUACGGGACGCAGCAGGCGCGAAACCUUCGCAAUGCCUGAAAGGGUGACGAGGGGACUCUGAGUGGCUUCGCACUGCGAAGCCUUUUGCCGAGUGUAAAAAGCUCGGCGAAUAAGUGGUGGGCAAGACAGUUGCCAGCCGCCGCGGUAUACUGCGC